CAGCAGCCGCGGUAAUACGUAGGGUGCAAGCGUUAAUCGGAAUUACUGGGCGUAAAGCGUGCGCAGGCGGUUUUGUAAGUCUGACGUGAAAUCCCCGGGCUCAACCUGGGAAUUGCGUUGGAGACUGCAAGGCUGGAGUCUGGCAGAGGGGGGUAGAAUUCCACGUGUAGCAGUGAAAUGCGUAGAGAUGUGGAGGAACACCGAUGGCGAAGGCAGCCCCCUGGGUCAAGACUGACGCUCAUGCACGAAAGCGUGGGGAGCAAACAGGAUUAGAUACCCGCGUAGUCCCUGUCUCUUAUAC
rnacentral:rRNA from 1 species